rnacentral:rRNA from 1 species
GUGACCUCAAAUCAGGUAGGACUACCCGCUGAACUUAAGCAUAUCAAUAAGCCGGAGGAAAAGGUAAGUUUU